UACGUAGGAGGCAAGCGUUGUCCGGAAUUACUGGGUGUAAAGCGCGUGUAGGCGGCAGGCCAAGUCUGUGGUGAAAUCGCUCGGCUCAACUGGGCGGGGUCCAUGGAAACUGGUCAGCUGGAGGACGGUAGAGGUGAGUGGAAUUCCCGGUGUAGUGGUGAAAUGCGUAGAGAUCGGGAGGAACACCCGUGGCGAAGGCGGCCAGCUGGGCCGAUCCUGACGCUGAGGCGCGAAGGCGUGGGGAGCGAACGGG
rnacentral:rRNA from 1 species